rnacentral:rRNA from 1 species
CGCCCUUAGAGUUUGAUCAUGGCUCAGGACGAACGCUGGCGGCGUGCCUAAUACAUGCAAGUAGAACGGAGGAGCUUGCUCUUCGAGUUGCGAACGGGUGAGUAACGCGUAGGUAACCUGCCUUGUAGCGGGGGAUAACUAUUGGAAACGAUAGCUAAUACCGCAUAACAAUGGGACACAUGUCUUUAUUUGAAAGGGGAUUGCUCCACUACAAGAUGGACCUGCGUUGUAUUAGCUAGUAGGUGAGGUAAUGGCUCACCUAGGCGACGAUACAUAGCCGACCUGAGAGGGUGAUCGGCCACACUGGGACUGAGACACGGCCCAGACUCCUACGGGAGGCAGCAGUAGGGAAUCUUCGGCAAUGGGGGCAACCCUGACCGAGCAACGCCGCGUGAGUGAAGAAGGUUUUCGGAUCGUAAAGCUCUGUUGUAAGUCAAGAACGGGUGUGAGGAAAUUCACACUGUGACGGUAGCUUACCAGAAAGGGACGGCUAACUACGUGCCAGCAGCCGCGGUAAUACGUAGGUCCCGAGCGUUGUCCGGAUUUAUUGGGCGUAAAGCGAGCGCAGGCGGUUUGAUAAGUCUGAAGUUAAAGACUGUGGCUCAACCAUAGUUCGCUUUGGAAACUGUCAAACUUGAGUGCAGAAAGGGAGAGUGGAAUUCCAUGUGUAGCGGUGAAAUGCGUAGAUAUAUGGAGGAACACCGGUGGCGAAAGCGGCUCUCUGGUCUGUACUGACGC